GACGGGGAGAGCGGAGCCCUGUGAACCCCGCCAGGUCCGGGAGGAAGCAACGGUAAGCAGAUCGCUCCGGGUGCCGCAGGGAA
rnacentral:SRP_RNA from 1 species